rnacentral:rRNA from 1 species
UGGGGAAUAUUGCACAAUGGGGGAAACCCUGAUGCAGCGAUGCCGCGUGGAGGAAGAAGGUUUUCGGAUUGUAAACUCCUUUUAUCAGGGACGAUAAUGACGGUACCUGAAGAAAAAGCUCCGGCUAACUACGUGCCAGCAGCCGCGGUAAUACGUAGGGAGCGAGCGUUGUCCGGAAUUACUGGGUGUAAAGGGAGCGUAGGCGGGACGGCAAGUCAGAUGUGAAAACUGAGGGCUCAACCUUCAGACUGCAUUUGAAACUGCUGUUCUUGAGUGAAGUAGAGGUAAGCGGAAUUCCUAGUGUAGCGGUGAAAUGCGUAGAUAUUAGGAGGAACAUCGGUGGCGAAGGCGGCUUACUGGGCUUUUACUGACGCUGAGGCUCGAAAGCGUGGGGAGCAAACAGG